GGGGCUGUGGCGCAGUUGGGAGCGCGCAAGACUGGCAGUCUUGAGGUCACGGGUUCGACCCCCGUCAGCUCCA
rnacentral:tRNA from 1 species